AUGAGACAACGGAAGUUCAGCAAUGGGCUAAUACAGGAAGUGAGUGCAGAGGAAACAAAUGAGAACACGGAUGGUCCCCAGGUACUACAGAGAACAAUUGAAGUCCUGUUUCUUAGCAUCAAACAAAGGAAACAGAACCUCUACCGUCAGGCAGGUUUGUUACAUUUCAUGAAUAUUGAAUUGCACACACUUCAUUUCUCUUUCAUUUCAAAGUAUUGCAAUUUAAGAAAUAAUUCCAUUCUCCUUUUGUUUUGAUGACAGAUGGAUGCAAGAAAAGACACCCUCUGCGCAGAAAGAUAUUGGAAGAAAAGGCCAAAUUGACAGCUGCCAUAGAGGAGUACAACACCCUUGUACCAGAUUCAGCAAUACCAUCUGCAGAUGAGAUCCUUUCCGCAGACCAUGCAUGGCCUUGGGAGCUGCAUGGACAAAGUAAGUAGUAUGUUUGUGUGUCACAAUAACUAUGUUUCUGUUUUGCUAUCUGUGUUUGUUCAGUUGCGCAAACACAGACAGCACUGCCCUUAAAGUUACAAAUCCACAUUGCAUUCUUAUGAAUUUACAGCUGACCUACUCACAAAGAAAAUAGCCUUUGUGUGAUGCUCCUCAGGUGAUGCUCCUGAGACGGCUGAAGGAGGAAGAGUUAAUUGUUCUAAAGGAAGUCAAGCAGCACUGGGAAAGCCUAAAGAGGGAAUCCGAGAAUGUGCAAGACCUUGCUUCACAUGUGGCACUUGACCUAAGCAGGCAAAGUAGGGGAACUUUCAUUAAUAUGUACAAUUGAUGUUGGCACCCUGUAAUUGCUAUUGUAUUUAAGGAAUACUUCAUGGUAUUUACCUUACACAUUACGAUUGUUGGUGUUAGGCUGGCAAUUGAAUCAGUCGGAAGCUGGGAGCAGAGGCCUCUUCUCCAUGCUUCAGAGGAGUCAGCAGCCUCAGAAGAAUCCAGGACUCUGUCAAUCUGAUAUACAGCCAAGCUAUGGGCCAAGACACCUCCCUCCUAGAAAAUAACUUCAUAGAUGACCUCCUGGAAGAGGACCUAGAUGACAUCUAUGACAGCAUCCACUACAGCUCUGAUGAUGAGGAAUCUAUCACCGACUGAAGGUGUUCGUUUGGGUGGGUGCAGUUUGCACUGGGUGAAAAGUGAUUCCAUUUGUUUUGCAUAUGUGCUUUAUCUGCCUUCCUAAGGAAAAAUAGUUUGAACAUUUUAUGGAAAAUAAACUUUUAUAUUUCUUCCUUGUUGACAAUGUGAUCAUGUGUCACAGAUUUGAGAAGGGCGCUCAUCUGUUACUGCUUUUGCCCGGUUG
rnacentral:lncRNA from 1 species